rnacentral:ncRNA from 2 species
GAUAAAAAUCAGGGGAGCCUUAUAGGCUGAGAAAUCCUUCGAAUUGAGGGUGACCCUUGGAACCUGAUCUGGGUAAUGCCAGCGAAGGGAGAUAGACGAUAUUAAAG